UACAGGGGGGGCAAGCGUUGUUCGGAAUUACUGGGCGUAAAGGGCUCGUAGGCGGCCAACUAAGUCACACGUGAAAUCCCCAGGCUUAACCUGGGAACUGCGUGUGAUACUGGAUGGCUUGAAUUCGGGAGAGGGAUGCAGAAUUCCAGGUGUAGCGGUGAAAUGCGUAGAUAUCUGGAGGAAUACCGGUGGCGAAGGCGGCAUCCUGGACCGGCAUUGACGCUGAGGCGCGAAAGCCAGGGGAGCAAACGGG
rnacentral:rRNA from 1 species